AUGGAAUGGUGAAUAUACCGGUUCUCGUUAGAUCACCGAAGUCAAGCAUCAUUGGGCGCGGUCAGUACUUGGGUGGGUGACCACCUGGCAACACCGCGUGCCGUU
rnacentral:rRNA from 1 species